CACCUCUCAGGAUCACACCUGGAGAGUUUGCAGGACUCUGACAGUUUUGGCUAUAGGAGGAAGAGUCAAGCAGAGGCCUGUCCAUUCCUAGCUUGGGCAGUGGCUAGAGAGUGGAAAGCAAUCUGCUACAAGU